GGCCCCCCCUCCACGGUGUGUGUGUGUGUGUGUGUGUGUGUGUGUGUGUGUGUGUGUGUGUGUGUGUGUGUGUGUGGCGGAGGGGGGACUGGCCGGGGGCGGCGACCCCUCUGUACAGUGCAGCACGCAUUAUUGUGUUACCCUCACCACUCUCCUCACCCUGCCCCCCACCACGCCCCCACCACACUCCCUCACCCCCUCCUUCACCCCGCUCCUUCACUCUCCCUUGAUGUGUAGCACGAGCAUGGUCACACACACACACACACACACACACACACACACACACACACACACACACACACACACACACACACACACACACAAAACUUUCUCUUUUUAUUAAGACUUGCAAUACACCGCCUCGCCCACUCCCUCUCUCCCUCUCUCCCUCUCUCCCUCUCACUUUGUGUUGAGGUAACAGUCUGCAAUGUUGCUUGAGCGGAAAAAGAAAAGAGAAAAUAGAAGGAAAAAAAAAAGAGGUGAUUUUCGUACAUUUUCUAUAAUUAUUUCGUGUUUUUAGGGUAAACAAUUAUAUUUUUCAUUGUUGUUUUGUAUCGUAGAAUUAUUAUUAUUAUUAUUAUUAAUAUUAUUAUUAUUAUUAUGCAUGUUUGUUGUAGUAGGUAAGAAAAUUAAUUGUAAUAAAUGUAAUCUUUAAAAUAUCAAUUAUUUUCAUCAUUAACAUAAACAAACAGUCAUUCCUUAUAAUACAUCACUAAUUUAUAUUCGCUAUUUACUGCUCAUAUUUCCAGAAAGUCAAAUUGGUAAUAAAAAUAAAUAUUAAACUCAUUUCAAUAAAAAAAAAAUAAUAGAAUAGUUUGGGGUUAAAAAUUUUUUGCCACCGAAAGAAAACGAGAGGAGAAGUUAAAGAAAACGGGGAUAAGAUUAAGAUGAACAGCAAGUUGGUGCAAAUUUCUCAUUUUCUUUGUUUCUUUCUUUAUUUCCAGGUAAGAAAUUGAAAACCCACAUCCCGUUUUCUUCGUAAUGUGUAAGAAAAAUUCCUCCAGUCUCACCUGUCCUUCUCUCCAGGUGACAGAGGCCCCGUAAGCAUAAAGGGGCCCACACCUGCGUAAGUUUGUAAUGCUGAUAAGGGUAAGUUUCAGGUGUGUAGACGCCUAAAGACACUCGCUAGCAGGUGUGGAACAGGUAAAUAUUGACAGGUGUGGAAGACGUACGUGACAGGUAUGCAGUGUCAGGUGUGGAAGGGUUGAAACUGACAGGUGUGGAAGAGAGACAGGUGUGUUUAGAAGGUAAUUAUUAAAACGCGUAGAAAUCCUUAAUAUUUUCAGGUGUGGGGGAGUUGGUGAUGAUACAGCAGGUGUGGGGGGAGAUGAAGGCAACUCCGACAGGUGUGGGGGGCGGGUGAAUAUACAGGUGUGGGAGGGACUGAUUAAAUAACAGGUUUGGGUCGAUUUAUAUAAUUGAACAGGUGUAGAAGGGAUAGGUAUUGCAAAACAGGUGUGGGUUAGCAGGUGUGUGUGUGUGAAUCAGCAGGUUUGGAAUAAAAUAGAGCAAUUAUUUAUGUAAGUUUGGUUAGAAUUAUUAUUAGAGAGAGAGAGAGAGAGAGAGAGAGAGAG